rnacentral:misc_RNA from 1 species
UCGCGGCUUAUCACCGGCAGUCCCCUUAGAGUGCCCAACUGAAUGAUGGCAACUAAGGGCGAGGGUUGCGCUCGUUGCGGGACUUAACCCAACACCUCACGGCACGAGCUGACGACAGCCUUGCAGCACCUGAACCAGCAGUCCCCGAAGGGAAAGUCCUAUUUCUAGGACGGUCCACCGUUGUCUAGCCCAGGUAAGGUUCUUCGCGUUGCGUCGAAUUGAACCACAUGCUCCACCGCUUGUGCGGGCCCCCGUCAAUUCCUUUGAGUUUUAACCUUGCGGCCGUACUCCCCAGGCGGUCAACUUCACGCGUUAGCUUCGUUACCAAGGAAUUGCUUCCCCGACAACCAGUUGACAUAGUUUAGGGCGUGGACUAC